GACGUAGGGCGCGAGCGUUGCCCGGAAUUAUUGGGCGUAAAGAGCUCGUAGGCGGUGUGUCGCGUCGGCCGUGAAAACCUGGGGCUCAACUCUGGGCGUGCGGUCGAUACGGGCAUCACUUGAGUUCGGCAGGGGAGACUGGAAUUCCUGGUGUAGCGGUGAAAUGCGCAGAUAUCAGGAGGAACACCGGUGGCGAAGGCGGGUCUCUGGGCCGAUACUGACGCUGAGGAGCGAAAGCAUGGGUAGCGAACAGG
rnacentral:rRNA from 1 species